GUUAGGUUUGGCUGCUAAUCUCCCACCCAAAGCAACAGUAUUGCUGUGUCCUUGUGGAAGAGGUGGGCUGACUUCAGCAUUGCCUGUUUGCCUUUUAAAUACCUGGAAUCCUGUGCUCCAUCGAUGUUUUAAAUCUACCAAGCAGCCUCCUAAUUUUGAGAAGCUGGUAGAUGUCGUUCAGCCUCAAACACGGCACUAGUUUGGGUCAGUAAUGUUCAACCACGACUUUGUCCCUCCAACUUGCUGUCAGUUCAAACCACGUACAAUGUGAUGCAUGUGCUCCUCGCCGAAGAGGCCGCUCACUCCCUGACAGAGUGACAGUUUGGAUGCUGGCUGGACAAAAGAGGCUCUUCUCUUUGCACCUAUGGAGUCCCUGUGCGAUUUUUAUGCGUUACAAAAUGCAUCGUUUCAUUUCCACGUGGCUCCGCUCCUCCCGUCAAACCCGGCUGGGCCGUCCCGAGGUUGCGGCUGCAGAAAUGGUGAGUAGGGGAGGGGGAGCGCUCGGCGGCUUUCGAUUGGGUGCGGAAGACCAUAGACAACUAAGUCAAAGGGACGCUCGAGGAGGAACCAUAGAGAUAAAAGAGAGAGCGGAGAGUGGUGGUGGUGCGGGCGGGGCAGGCAGGCGGGUUAUGACAGGAAUCGCCGCCAUCUUGUGAAGGGCGCGCUCAAACGCAGCCAUGCUGAGAAGGUUCUCCGCUCCAUACGGUAGUUCUGCAAAUCGCCUUUCUCGUCGCCGCACGUCGCGGCACACCAGCCAGCGUCUCGCGGCACAGUAAUGUGCCGCGGAACAGCGGUUGAGAAACGCUGGUCUGAGGGACAGUGGACCAGCCCCCUGCUGAAAAAGUUUGCUGACCCCUGGCUUAAAGGAGCUUCCAGAGAGCUCUUACUUAUGCUUAUGAGAAAACACCCAUUGUGAGAUCUCUUCUUGUUUCUCACAAAAUUGCCUCAACAUUUGAUUGCCCUGCUUCCUUCACAAAAGGCUGGCCCUUCAUGGAAUCUCCAGUGCAUCUUCUUAUUCAUAAUGGGUGUGUUGCUUUUUCACUGCCCGAAUGGGGCUGGUACUUCUAUGCCGUCUCUGUGUGCUUGAAAGUGUCGCUGUAUCCUGCACAAU